rnacentral:rRNA from 1 species
AGUGAACGCUGGCGGUAGGCCUAACACAUGCAAGUCGAACGGCAGCACAGUAAGAGCUUGCUCUUACGGGUGGCGAGUGGCGGACGGGUGAGGAAUACAUCGGAAUCUACUUUUUCGUGGGGGAUAACGUAGGGAAACUUACGCUAAUACCGCAUACGACCUACGGGUGAAAGCAGGGGAUCUUCGGACCUUGCGCGAUUGAAUGAGCCGAUGUCGGAUUAGCUAGUUGGCGGGGUAAAGGCCUACCAAGGCGACGAUCCGUAGCUGGUCUGAGAGGAUGACCAGCCACACUGGAACUGAGACACGGUCCAGACUCCUACGGGAGGCAGCAGUGGGGAAUAUUGGACAAUGGGCGCAAGCCUGAUCCAGCCAUACCGCGUGGGUGAAGAAGGCCUUCGGGUUGUAAAGCCCUUUUGUUGGGAAAGAAAAGCAGCAGGUUAAUACCCCGCUGUUCUGACGGUACCCAAAGAAUAAGCACCGGCUAACUUCGUG